GACGAACGCUGGCGGCGUGCUUAACACAUGCAAGUCGAACGGAAAGGCCCUGCUUGCAGGGUACUCGAGUGGCGAACGGGUGAGUAACACGUGGGUGAUCUGCCCUGCACUUCGGGAUAAGCCUGGGAAACUGGGUCUAAUACCGGAUAGGAGCAAUUUUUAGUGUGAUGGUUGGAAAGUUUUUUCGGUGUAGGAUGAGCUCGCGGCCUAUCAGCUUGUUGGUGGGGUAAUGGCCUACCAAGGCGGCGACGGGUAGCCGGCCUGAGAGGGUGGACGGCCACACUGGGACUGAGAUACGGCCCAGACUCCUACGGUAGGCAGCAGUGGGGAAUAUUGCACAAUGGGCGCAAGGCUGCUGCAGCGGCGCCGCGUGGGGGAUAACGGCCUUCGGGUUGUAAACUCCUUUCGCUAGGGACGAAGCUUUUUGUGACGGUACCUAGAGAAGAAGCACCGGCUAACUACGUG
rnacentral:rRNA from 1 species